rnacentral:rRNA from 1 species
UGUCUUUAUGGUAAAUGUGAGAUGCAGUGUAUGGAAUGGCAAAUUUCUAGUAUGAGAAAUUAACGAUUUAAGUCCUUCUUAAAUGAGGCCAUUUACCCAAAGAGGGUGCCAGGCCCGUAUAACGUUAAUGAUUACUAGAUGCCAUUUCCAAAGAGUCGUGUUGCUUGAUAGUGCAGCACUAAGUGGGUGGUAAACUCCAUCUAAAACUAAAUAUAACCAUGAGACCGAUAGUAAACAAGUACCGUGAGGGAAAGUUGAAAAGAACUCUGAAUAGAGAGUUAAAUAGUACGUGAAACUGCUUAGAGGUUAAGCCCGAUGAACCUGAAUAUCCAUUAUGGAAAAUUCAUCAUUAUGAUUUUAAUAUUUAUAAUAUUAUAAUAAUGGUGUGCAUUUUUUCCAUAUAAGGACAUUGUAAUCUAUUAACAAACAGAUUUAUCAUAAGGUCAUUGCGUAAGUUUAUUCAAAUUAUUUUGCUUGCAAUUUAACAUAGAAUAAAUGCUUUUGAUUUGAUAAAGUGUUGAUAGAUUUAUUAUAUAUAGUGCUUGAAUAUAUUUAUAUAUUCUAUAAUAGCGUAAUAAUCAAUGAUUUUUAUGUUCAUUAUAUGCAUUUAUAUGAUUAACAAUGCGAAAGAUUCAGGAUACCUUCGGGACCCGUCUUGAAACACGGACCAAGGAGUCUAACAUAUUUGCAAGUUAUUGGGAAUUAAAAACCUAAUAGCAAAAUUAACAUAACUUAUAUAAUGGGAUUAGUUUUUAGUUCUAUUUACUUAGACUAUUAAUUCAAUCCCGGGGCGUUCUAUACAGUUAUGCAUAAUAAUAUUUAUAUUAUUUAUGCCUCUAACUAGAGCGUACCUUGAGCAUAUAUGCUGUGACCCGAAAGAUGGUGAACUAUACUUGAUCAGGUUGAAGUCAGGGGAAACCCUGAUGGAAGACCGAAACAGUUCUGACGUGCAAAUCGAUUGUCAGAAUUGAGU